AGAGCAGGCCCUAUUUUCCAGUUGAAUACUGUUCUCUUUUCUCCUGACUUAGUACUUCCUCCCCCUUCAGCCUGAGCUGAUUCCUCAUGUCUUCAGAAAUGAAUUCUCUUCUGUUAUGACCUAUACUGGGGCCUCUACAUUACUUAAGUGUCAUCUCUCUUAGUAUUGUAGCUCCAUAAAAACAAGAUGUUUCUAUGGUUGUAUUGGCACAAAAGAAAACCUCAAAAACAUUUGUUAAGUGACUAAAUGGAUACAGAAUUCCUUGAUUUUUUAACUGAUUAGUCUUAUUAAUCAUUCUCUUAAAAUUAGCCUCACAUACACUAUGCUGUUGGCUACUGCCAUGACCAAUACAUAACAAUAUAUAUGUAACUAUAUAUAUAUAUAUAUCCACAUGCAUAUACAUAUAUACACAUGCACAUACACAAAUAUAUACUGUCAGGAUAUUUUUGGCUACUGAUUGAGUCUUUCAAUUCAUUUGGCUGUAACAGAUUCAGAUGAAAUUUAUUGCAUGUCUCCGUGCCCUUGAUCCUAGGCCUCUAGCCUGUUUACAUAUAGUCACAAACACAUGUUGACCAGUCAGAAUACUCUAUGGGAAGCAGGGAACUGUGAAGCCUAUCAUUACAGUGUUCGAGUCUUGAGCCACAAAAGGACUCGGUUUCUGAACACAGAAUUCUGGUCCUGGGCUGGGAAUGUGCCUUAGUGGUAGAGUGCUUGCCUAGCAUGCGUGAAGCCCUGGGUUCGAUUCCUUAGCACCACAUAAACAGAAAAAGCCAGAAGUGGCGCUGUGGCUCAAAAGGUAGAGUUCUCGCCUUGAGCAAAAAGAAGUCAGGGACUGUGCUCAGGUCCUGAGUUCAAGCCCUAGAACUGGCAUAAAGAAGAAAAAAAUGAAUUUCGGUCCUAUUAUUGUGUAUUAAUUUGUCCAGAUGUUGCUACAGACUGUGGACACUGGCUGAGCCAAGGCAAGGUUGUGGCUGUGUGAUUUUCAGGCUUUCUUCUCCAAGUUGUCU